AAUAAGCGUAAUUGUGGAUUUUAGUGCUCAACUUUGACCAUCUGUCAUAUUUGAAAUAUUUUUAUGAUUAGUAUUUUUAUUUUUAUUAGAUGAUAAAAUAUGAAUAGUACUUUAUGUGUGACUUAACUUCUCAAAUUUUUUUAUAAAUUUUUCAAAUAAGACGGACGGUCAAACGUUAACGUUGGACACGAAAACUUAUGGCUACACUUAUA
rfam:Oryza glumipatula chromosome 11, whole genome shotgun sequence.